UGAAUAAAAUCCGUUGAGGUGUGUUCUGUUAAGAAUGUAUAAGAGUCAAAAUAGAGCUCGUUCGCCCUUAGAAUUCCCAAAUAGCCAGUAGUAUUCUU